CACAAACAAACUAGCAAGUUUAAAAAAUUCAGAAAUUCGAUGCAACUCCGCUCAAAUCAUAAUUUUCCGCAUAACCCUUCGUAUACAUUGUAAAACGGUGAUUAAGCACCUUUAAAAAGAGUGUUUAUUUUUGUCAACGAAAUCCAUCAAGAAGCCAAGGUUUUUCGUACUUUUCAUUAUCUUUCACAUUCUCGGGUUCGCACUUACCUCUUCCUCUUCUUUUUCAACACCAGAUUCCACCAAGGGAACUGUCCGCUGAAGUGAAGCUUCUUCAUCAAAGUCAGGUAUAUCACGUUCGAAAUAAAUCGGCAUAACGGUUUUAAUACCGACCUUCCGUUGACGAUAUGCCCUAGCAUUUUUGGAGACGGAACUCAUGAUAAUAUUGGUAUCGUUGGACUCCAAUCACUUAAAUCUAUCCAACCGUAAAAUUAUAAGAUACUCGUCUCACUCAAAAUCUUGUAGAAACAGGCGCUAAAUCCUGGCGUAGUUGACGGCCGUCGUCGUUGGUGUGUCAAACCACUAGGGGUUAACAAACCGAAUGAAAUUUUUCAUAAACCUCUUCACUGCGAUAAUUUACCGAGGAGCAACGUAACCAAAAAUAAUUUUCUAAUACGCUCGUACCGUUAAUAUACAACGUAUUGUAGCGAUAUUUACUGGAGAUUCCAGGUGUAAACAAUGGAAGAAACCGAUGGCAGGAGAAACAAAAGAGGAAAUUGUCAACCAUCAGUUGAAGUGAAGUCCAUAAAACUCCAUAGUGAAUUAUAAGGAAUCAAGU